rnacentral:lncRNA from 1 species
CACAGGUUCUGCCAAGAUCUCCCUUGCCAUUCUUACAAUAUGAACUUUUAUGUCUAGGUCCUUAUCCUAGAAGGCAGGUAGGAUAGGGGAUAGAAUUCUCAACUGGAGUCAGAAAGCCUCAGAUGCUAUAUGACCCUGGGACGUAGGUCUCUUGGCUUCUUCUCCUGAACAUCUGGGGAGUCUCAUUGCUAAGGUUAAGAGUCUAGAGAGCAGGUUAUCCAAGAAGAAUGGUAGAACAGGCCAGUGUCUUCAAACAAGAAAGAAAUGAUGUUAGUCCUGAAUGCACAGAAGAAAUUAGGGGAUGAGAUGAAUGGUCCUAAACUAUGUAAAAACCAAAGGCAGAUCCUUGAUGGCAGACCCCAGACAAAGCUACAACCUUGAUGUAAUGGCACAGCCAACACAGGCUGCUCUAACUAACACACAGAUUCUCCUGUGGAGAGACUGGCUUGGAAGCCCAGAAAUAAUCUCAUUUUAGAAAAUGGACUUUAGAAAGAGCUCUCUGUUCAAGAAGCCAUAAAAUCCACAGAUAGAUCUCUAUUCCAGUCCAAAGGAGUUGGGACUUUACAUCUGACUGUAUCUUGCAAAUGUAAUACCUUGGGAAAAAGGUAAAAUAUUCCAGACUUUCAGCUGCUCUAAUUUCCUAUUUCUUUCAAGCCAAAGUGGUAUUUGGCAAAUGUGCCCUGCAAGUAUAGUUUUUAGAGUCUCCAAG